rnacentral:rRNA from 1 species
AUUGAACGCUGGCGGCAUGCCUUACACAUGCAAGUCGAACGGUAACGCGGGGCAACCUGGCGACGAGUGGCGAACGGGUGAGUAAUGUAUCGGAACGUGCCCAGUUGUGGGGGAUAACUGCUCGAAAGAGCAGCUAAUACCGCAUACGACCUGAGGGUGAAAGCGGGGGAUCGCAAGACCUCGCGCAAUUGGAGCGGCCGAUAUCAGAUUAGGUAGUUGGUGGGGUAAAGGCCCACCAAGCCAACGAACUGUAGCUGGUCUGAGGGGACGACCAGCCAAACGUGGACUGAGACACGGCCGAGGCGCCUACGGGAGGCAGCCGUGUGGAAUUUUGGACAAUGGGCGCAAGCCUGAUCCAGCCAUGCCGCGUGCGUGAAGAAGGCCUUCUGGUUGUAAACCGCUUUUGUCAGGGAAGAAACGCUCUGGGUUAAUACCUCGGGGUAAUGACGGUACCUGAAGAAUAAGCACCGGCUAACUACGUGCCAGCCGCCGCGGUAAUAC